CGCAAGCCUGACGGAGCAAGACCGCGUGGGGGAGGAAGGUUUUUGGAUUGUAAACCUCUUUUUUAAAGGAAGAAGAAAGUGACGGUACUUUAAGAAUCAGCAUCGGCUAACUCCGUGCCAGCAGCCGCGGUAAUACGGAGGAGGCAAGCGUUAUCCGGAAUUAUUGGGCGUAAAGCGUCCGCAGGUGGCAAUUCAAGUCUGCUGUCAAAGCACGGGGCUUAACUCCGUAAAGGCAGUGGAAACUGAAUAGCUAGAGUGCCGUAGGGGUAGAGGGAAUUCCCGGUGUAGCGGUGAAAUGCGUAGAUAUUGGGAAGAACAUCGGUGGCGAAAGCGCUCUACUGGACGGCAACUGACACUCAGGGACGAAAGCUAGGGGAGCG
rnacentral:rRNA from 1 species